rnacentral:rRNA from 1 species
UACGACUACAUAUCAGGCAUAUCAAUAAGCGGAGGAAAAGAAACUAACUAGGAUUCCCUUAGUAACGGCGAGUGAAGCGGGAAGAGCUCAAGUUUGAAAUCUUCAAGGUUCUACCUUGACGAAUUGUAGUUUAAAGAAGUGUUUUCUGUUAGUGGAGUGGCUAAAAGUUCUUUGGAAUAGGACAUCAUAGAGGGUGAGAAUCCCGUAUUUGAUCAUUCCUUCUUAGCUUUGUGAUACACUUUCAAAGAGUCGGAUUGUUUGGGAAUGCAGUCCAAAAUGGGUGGUAAAUUUCAUCUAAAGCUAAAUAUUGGCGAGAGACCGAUAGCGAACAAGUACCGUGAGGGAAAGAUGAAAAGAACUUUGAAAAGAGAGUUAAACAGUACGUGAAAUUGUCAAAAGGGAAGCGUUUGACACCAGUGUUGUUUUUCCGAAAAUCAAUUAAUGAUGGUUUGAUUUUGAGGAGUUAUGACUUCAUCAGCUAUGCUCCUUUCUUUAUGUACUUUGCUGAAUGCACUUUUCGUUAACAAGUCAACAUCAGUUUCUUUUGUUGUAAAAGAGUAUGAGGAAGGUGGCUUUCUUUUCGGAGAAAGUGUUUAUAGCCUUGUACUUCUGCAAUCGGAGAGAUUGAGGUCUGCAGCGUAGAUCCUUCGGGAUUAGAUACACUUGUGCUAAGUUAUAGCUUUUCAUAGACAACUUGUUGAUUAUGAUUAGUCUUGUAACUUACUCGCUUAUGCUAAUUUUACCUACGCUUAGGAUGUUGACGCGCGUGUGUGCGUG